GACGAACGCUGGCGGCGUGCUUAACACAUGCAAGUCGAACGGGAUGAUUUAGAAGCUUGCUUUUAGAGAAUCUAGUGGCAAACGGGUGAGUAACACGUAGACAACCUGCCGACAGGAUGGGGACAACAUUCCGAAAGGAAUGCUAAUACCGAAUGAAGUCGAGGGAAGGCAUCUUCCUUCGAUGAAAGAUGGCCUCUGAAAAUGCUAUCACCUGUCGAUGGGUCUGCGUCUGAUUAGCUGGUUGGUGAGGUAACGGCUCACCAAGGCGACGAUCAGUAGCCGGUCUGAGAGGAUGAACGGCCACAUUGGGACUGAGACACGGCCCAGACUCCUACGGGAGGCAGCAGUGGGGAAUCUUCCGCAAUGGGCGCAAGCCUGACGGAGCAACGCCGCGUGAGUGAAGAAGGUCUUCGGAUCGUAAAGCUCUGUUGAUGGGGACGAACGUGCGAAGGGUGAAUAAUCCUUUG
rnacentral:rRNA from 1 species